rnacentral:lncRNA from 1 species
ACAAAAGUAGUAAAAUUAAAUUUAGUGCUUAAGUGAAAGAUCACUAAGCAUUGUGAUAAAAUGUAUGUACUGGAUUUAGUAUUCGAUGAGUACGGAAGGACUAGAUAAGAUGUUUUUGAUCAGGAUGAGAGAUGUUUGACCUAAGAUAAGUGUAGGAAGGUUUACCAUGGUAUAGCAGUUAUACUAUGUUCAGAUAUUAUUUAAAUGAAAAGAAAGUUUAAAAUUGAUAUGGAUUUGGAUGUGAUUAUUAGAGUGUGAUUUGUACAUGGAUUGGUCAUAGAAUUGGAAUGAGCCAAGAAAGAUUUUUUUAAUAUAGUAUCAUAAAGGAUUGUUCUUCGAGGUUAAAUCUGUACGUGGUUAUAAUUGGUAUUGGCAUACUUGGAUAUUGCAAAUAAUUGUAUUUCUAUUGGUGGAUCAAAUUCUUAAGGCCAUAGAGUAUGCAUAUUGAUGGAGGAGUUCUAGUUAAUUUGAAUUCUCAUGUUUGGAUUGGGCUAUUAGAUCUUUCUCAUAAUUAUUGGACACUAUUGGAUGUGUUAGUUUAACCUCAAGUC